rnacentral:rRNA from 1 species
CAUGCAAGUCGAACGAGCGAGAGAGAGCUUGCUUUCUCGAGCGAGUGGCGAACGGGUGAGUAACGCGUGAGGAACCUGCCUCAAAGAGGGGGACAACAGUUGGAAACGACUGCUAAUACCGCAUAAGCCCACGACCCGGCAUCGGGUAGAGGGAAAAGGAGCAAUCCGCUUUGAGAUGGCCUCGCGUCCGAUUAGCUAGUUGGUGAGGUAACGGCCCACCAAGGCAACGAUCGGUAGCCGGACUGAGAGGUUGAACGGCCACAUUGGGACUGAGACACGGCCCAGACUCCUACGGGAGGCAGCAGUGGGGAAUAUUGCACAAUGGGGGAAACCCUGAUGCAGCGACGCCGCGUGGAGGAAGAAGGUCUUCGGAUUGUAAACUCCUGUUGUUGAGGAAGAUAAUGACGGUACUCAACAAGGAAGUGACGGCUAACUACGUGCCAGCAGCCGCGGUAAAACGUAGGUCACAAGCGUUGUCCGGAAUUACUGGGUGUAAAGGGAGCGCAGGCGGGAAGACAAGUUGGAAGUGAAAUCCAUGGGCUCAACCCAUGAACUGCUUUCAAAACUGUUUUUCUUGAGUAGUGCAGAGGUAGGCGGAAUUCCCGGUGUAGCGGUGGAAUGCGUAGAUAUCGGGAGGAACACCAGUGGCGAAGGCGGCCUACUGGGCACCAACUGACGCUGAGGCUCGAAAGUGUGGGUAGCAAACAGGAUUAGAUACCCUGGUAGUCCACACCGUAAACGAUGAUUACUAGGUGUUGGAGGAUUGACCCCUUCAGUGCCGCAGUUAACACAAUAAGUAAUCCACCUGGGGAGUACGACCGCAAGGUUGAAACUCAAAGGAAUUGACGGGGGCCCGCACAAGCAGUGGA